GGCUGGGGGUAGUUACCUGUGCAUUAAACAUUAAAGACGUCUGUAGUCGUCGGCACCAAAUACUAACACUUAUUUUUAUUGUACAAUUGUAGGUGCAUUUAUUUGAAAAUAAAUCAGCCUUCGAAUCUAAUGUUUAGAUUAUCCUAUACCACUUCAUUUAUUUGAUUUGAAGAGUCAGUGUGUGAAUGCAUUACUGUAAAGUUUCUUUUCAGUGCUAUUUUUAACUUUAAUUUCUGUAGAUAACCAAAUAUAACUUGUUUAUAUUCAGUCACGUUUUGGGUCCUUACGUAGAACGUAUAAUAAGCAGGAGACAUGGAUCUGCUUGCAAUAAAUAUAAACAUUCAGAACUGGUUUAAGUUUGCUCACGAGUAAUUAAAACCAAGUAUGAAUAUGAAAUGAUUUCAUAUUAGUCUGUAAUAAAAUGUAAGUAGACAACAGAAAAUGGAUUGAGUGUUUGAUUCUGGUGCUGAAUGUGCUCGUAGUCACGUCUGCUCUCAGAGAGCAUCACAUCCAGUUAAAAAAGCAAGUGGAAAAUUCAAAGGAGGCCAAAAGGUGAAUGAUGUGAGUGGUGCUGCGGAGCUGAUCCAAAUCAGUACCGACCCAGGAGAGCUUCAUUCUUCCCACAUUGAUUGGAUUAGUGCUAAAGUUCUUUACAAUCUAAGCUAGUAAAGCUGCACGUAAGAAGAUCUGUACUGUACUUCCUUACAGUCCUGCUGGCCUGGGUACCCAGAGCUAGUUCACCUUUCUCUGCAUUGUCGCAGUUUAAAGAAACUGAAUUAAAAGCAAAGCCAGUGUGCUUUGCCAUCUGAGUUGGCAGUGGUGUUCUUACGAAGGAGGCUGAUCGCACAGAAGUCCAUCAUUUUCUUUUGCUUGGUGGUACAAUGGCAUGGGACGUCCUGUACUUUGGACACCGUUACAGAGCAUGACAACAAAUGUCUUCACGCCAUCAACCUGAAGCUACCCCAGAGAGCAGAUCAGAGCACUAGGUGAGGUGCCUCCCUCUUCCUUCAGUCUGAUCCAGUACUUGAUCUAGCAGCUGGCAGCCUCGCCUGCAGCAGGAGGUUGGAACUUGACGAUCCUUGAGGUCCCUUCCACCCCAAGCCAUUCUGUGAUUCUUGAUGAGGCUACGUAGAAUGCUCAGGCACCUGGUUUGUGUAUUGACUUUUCUGUUCCCAUAAUAAAAAUGUUAGAGUAACAGAUUUCUGCUUGUAACAACUAUUUCUCCGAAUAAUACAAGCAUAUUUACCUAUCAUAUCCCUUUUGUUCAUCAAGAAGUGUUGGGUUUUCUACUGAAUGAGCUUGUGGUGGAGGUGCUUUGAGGGGAAAAAAGGUGAAUCUGGAAGAUGCUUUCUCAUGUAAUGAAGAAAAAAAAUGCACAAAUUGCAAUUAGAUAAAAAAUUGAAAGUGGAAUGCGAUGCAUAUGGAUUUCAGGAGGAACACUGUGGCACAAGGAAGAAAUCACCUUGUAAGUAGGCAACUUUCCACUUUACAUGUAAAAAUGUUAAAUUGUUUAAAGGAUAAAAGGGCAGAAAGGCAGUGAUUUCUCAUUAUUAAUUCUAAACUGAAUACCGUGUUUUCCUUGAGCUCUUUUCUAGUAAGUUACAUUGUAAAUUAAUUGAAAGCUGUUUCUUCUAUUAAGAGACAGUUUGUUUUUUUUUUUCCUGCAAUACAUACAAUGCUGCUCUAUGAACUAUUUCAAGAGGUCAGUUUUGAUAUUAAUUGAAAUAGGUUGGAGACAGACAAAUUCCAUGUUUUUGCUUUAUGCACAUUCUGAUUUCCUUAGCUGAUACUCAACAGGAAGUUACAAAUAAUCUUUCAGCAUUCGAAUAAAGCUUUGUUGCUGUGUGUUUCCAUUACGUAUCCUUAGAGGUCCUUUCAUUUGAAUUUCAUUCAGAUGCUAAAGCAAAGUCAAGUCAUUCAAGUCCAGUUAUUUUUUUAAAUGGUGAGUCUGCAGUAAAGUAAUGGCGGUGAGUUUUAAUAAUUGAAGUCUUUAUUUUCCAGUUACAGGAGACAAAUAGGAGUAGUAUUCAAUUUUCAACCACCCAAAGGUUUGUCGUCAUUUUCCAUUAUUCAUUUCAGCUAAAAAAAUCUGGCACGUUAAGCUUUUAAAAAUACAUACAGUGCAGCGUCCUCUUCGGUUUGUGGGCCCACUAGUCAGCUUGUUUCAGAGAGAGCUGUUAACACCCAGUCUCAUCCAUCACUUUAAUGGUGAAAAACAGGAUAUGCUUCUCGUUUCUAACCAGCAAAGCAAUCCUUACAGUUGUCCAAAAAGCACAUCAAUUCUUAGCUCAGGAUUUUAAAUGUAUUUUGAAAAGAUGCUUGACACUGGAAUGCUGAUGUCAAAACCAGUGCCAAAUCUGAAAUCUAAUCUGAUCUUGCAAGCCAAUAGACGCUGAGCUUUAGAAAAGAAGGAAAAUAAGUCCUGGAUCCAUGUACCACCACCGGGUGAUACGCUGACUUUCAUGUCAGUAAAUGCUUCCAACCCCAUAGCAGUAAUAUUCUUCCACAAAUAUUCUUCUACGGUUCUAUACAGAUUAUAAAUGCAUAGCUAGUGAAAGUUGUCAAUAUUAAUUAGGUUGAACUCUAUCUGUGUAUUCCCAGCUAUGAAGAAAGAUCGUGUUCUCUUCUAAUAGAAUUAGAGUUAAGAAAGAGAAACUUUGCCUAAUCGGAGACUAUAAACAAGACUGAAGUGAGACUCCAUCUCACCAUCGGAGACACCAUCUCUCUCACCAGAGAGAUACAGCUCAGGAACAGUAGAGAUUCGCUUGGCUUUAAAGUGACUCUUCUUAGAAAGUGAAUUAGUUUGACCCGAAGGAACAGAGGUGUCUUGAAAACUAAGGCUGUGGUUUGUAAACUAACUACACCAAAUGUUUGUGCAUCAUUGUACUUAAGGGGACUUGUCCAGAUGGAAAAAAAGCUGCAGAUCCUUCCAUUGUAUAUGAUACUGCAGCCCAGUGGGUCCCCUCUGACCUCUCAGUAAGGCCCAAAGCCAAUGAUCAUGUCCCAGGGGAGGUUUAGGCUGGAUAUUAGGAAGAACUUCUUUACAGGAAGGGUAGUUAAGCACUGGAAUGGGCUCCCCAGGGAGGUGGUUGAGUCACCAUCCCUGGAUGUGUUUAAGAACCGUUUCGAUGUGGUGCUCAGGGACAUGAUUUAGCGGAGGGUUGUUAGAGUUAGGGUACUAUGGUUAGGUUGUGGUUGGACUUGAUCUGUAAGGUCUUUUCCAACCUGAGCUAUUCUAUGAUUCUAUGAAUCCACCUUCCUCAGCGGCCCUGGGCUGCUGUCUGGUUGUGAGAAAUGCCCUGCUAGCUGAUACCUUCUCACCUCACUGAAUACUCAUCAGAACAGCUGCACAGAAGCUGUAUUUGCGUCCACCACAGUGCAUGGCCAGAACAUUUCUGCAGGUAACAAGAGGUCUGAAUCCAAGACAACUGGACUCCACAUAGUAGUGAUCUACCCGUGAUUUAUAAUUUGCUGCUUACCUGUAAAUACUAUAUCUGUUGGAAAUAAUUUUGGGGCCUAAAGUAUGCAGAGAUCCCCAUACUAAUGGUCUUUCGGCACAUCCUAUUGCUGUUCAUAAAGUUCAUUUCCGUCUCUACUCUUAGCAUCCCUUCUUCCAUUUCCUUCUCCCUGAGUAGGUCUGCUACUACAGCAACACAAUCAAUGCCAAUGCUUCAGUAAUGUUGCGGUGGCUUAUUUGCCAUGGUUUAUACCCCCAUUGAUCUGAACUAUGUGCUGUAACGCUACAAAAUUACAGGACCUAGAGUAUACAGUGCGAAACAUGGCUAGGAAUAUUUGCUCAUUCCUUAGUUUUAGGAGUGCAUAUCUGCAUUUACAGAUAUGUUUCCUCAAACUUAACUCCAUCUGGACACAGAUAAAUUAUAAUUACAGUGUAUGCAUACACUCAUCAAAAACGACUGAGGAGUUCCCAAACAGGAAAGAGUAUCAUUGUGAUACUGACAUCUUUAAUAUACCUUUUUUAAUUAUUCUUUCCCCUGGAAGUCUGUUUCAGCACUUCCCAUUUUCCUUCUCAAGAAGGAUGUCAAGAAGUCCCAACGUUCCUUCCUUAUGUGAGUAAAGCACAGUCCAAUGCGAGGUAAUGAGAAAGAUCUAUCUGUGCUACCUCACGGCUCAUUGAACAGGCAAAGCAGAAGGUCUGAUGUGGUACAGUCGCCACCACUGGGUACUGCCCUCCUCACUUCUAUGCAGAAAACACGGACAUCCCACACACAGCACUGAGAAGGGGGCUCCUUUCCCCACCUGCUCUCUCUUCACAGCCUCUCCAGCAUGACGAAUCACUGUUACAAACCCUGGUUUCACACCCAUUUAUGCUAGUUGCUCAGAAAGGAUAGGUGAUCUGAUGACACUUCUUCAAUUGCUUUCACCAUAAAAACUUGGGAUUUUAAGAUAUUGGGGAAAAAAUGAAUGUUUAACCCAUUAAAUUUACUGCAGACUACCUGUGUUUUGCUCGACUGACACAUUACCUGGCCUCUCCCCUGUCUGAGGGUCUCCAGGAGGAAAUUCUAUAAGAUUGACAGUAUUUGUAAGACAAAAGGAAGUGUCAUCUUUCAUAUUUACCCAGGGACUUGAUGGGAACAUGGAAAGGCAAUGGAUAUUUAGAUUCUGCCACACACACACGCCAAGGAAAUUAAUAUCCAUAUCUGAAAGAUACAUCUCCCUCGUACUGCUCUUGCUCUGCAUCAGUCGUGAUGACAGCCUUCAACAAGCUUUUGGCAACAUGCCGCCCUCCUUAGCCUAUCCGAAUAUUACUCACACAGUCAACUCUGGCAUCUUUUAUUUCCAGAUGCAGUUCAUGAGAACCAUCUGCCAAUUCUCUAUUUCCAAAUUUGCAUGAA
ensembl:lncRNA